rnacentral:lncRNA from 1 species
AUUCACUCAAGAUUCUUCUCUGUACUACUCUUACCUAAGAUGAAUCACAAAAGAACAUGUUGAUUGGGCGGAGGAGGAAGGUGGAUGGUUUUAUAAAUGAAGAUGGACUAUAAUAUUAUAAUGUUGUGCUUUUAUUAUGUAUCACAAAAGAAAAAAUUAUCACUAAAGAAGGAGUAGGAAGAAGAAUCUGUGGUCCCUUCAAUUAAUGUAAUGGGGAUCUCAAUUAGCUACAAGAGAGAGUCAGUCGUGCCUGGGCUUGUCUGUUGAAUUGGUGGGAGCAGCUGCCAGAAGCCUGUUUGCAUAUGGAUUGAGGGUCCUCUUGGGAGUGUUCUCAUUCUGAAGGAAGAAGUUGCCUGGCAACAAGAGUUUGACCCAUGGAGACAGCUUUACCCAACAGAGGAGCAAGAAAGCCUGAGUACAGUGUGGUGUCUGUCAUCUAGAUCUGUCUCCCGGCUGGAUGACAUGAAUAUAUGCCUAAGUGCCACAGAGAGUGGGGAGGCUAAAUGGACCAAGUAGAGAAAAAUAAACCUGCUUUACUAAUAUCCAUUUAAAACGGAGUACAAUGCAAUGCUUCAAGAUCCAUCUGAUAGACUAAAAUCCAAAUGGAAGGGAAGUGUUUUCCCCUUUCUUACUAAAAAUCAGUUUGGGUAUGGAGAUGUCACCAAAGCAUUCAUUAUAGUGUGUAUCAGAGCAGCGACAGUACCCGGAGAAGACUUUGAUGCCCAGUGAAGCAUUAAAAAUCAAUACCCAUAGGAUGUGGUAGUAUCCGGUGAUACUAAUUGGGAUAUGUCUGCACCUGCUCCUGAACUUUUCAUACACAUCAAGAUGAUAGGUGAGCGGAGAGCUUGAGUAGCUACAGAAGCUAGCUGAAGGCCAACAGCUAGUGAACACAUAAAGAGAACGGUAAUCGCUGAUACGUUUUUUUGAAGAAGAAUUGUGCAAAUUCCUCUGAAAGCCUAGUGUUGUUUCUAUGAAGCCCAAUCACCUGGUAGAAUUCCUGUGGGAAGAUACAUCACUGCUAAUUCUCCUCCCUACCUAGAAAACGUCCAAAAUGUGGGUUAUUCAUGUCAAAGAUAAACAAGGCCAGACACUCGAAGUGAUACACGCCCUGCUCCUAAGACAACCAGUAUCCUCAGCUGCUUUCCAGAUCCCUUUACAGAACAAAUGGGAUUUUCCAGAUGAUUUCCACGCUAUGUGGGAGCCAAGCAAGUCUCUGAGAAGAUCAAGUCACAUCUUCUCUUUGCCGAACUUUGUCAUAGCACUAAUUUUAUUAUUUGUUAUGUUAUUGGGGGAUCCACCUGGAGAGGUGAUCUAAUCUCAAAGUCCCAAAUGAGUAUGCGGAAUUUAGAAAAAUA